CUGUGUUGCAACGCGGCUCUUCCUGUGUCCAGAGCGGCCGUGUGGUCUCCCUGACCUUGUGCAGAGUUAGAAAAAGAAGACGACGGUCACCUUUCACCAUGUUACUCUUGAACCAGGAAUAGAAAGGAAAGUUUCUGCUUACUGAGAGAUAACUUCGCAACCAAUUCGAACCGUGGGACUCUAAGAAUGGUCAGUUUCCCACUGUUUCAUUUGCUGUUGUUGGAAACAAGAAGGCCAAGACACACUGACCCUCUUUUAGACUGUGGAGGCCAGUCUGCUACUGAGAGUAGUUGCGCUCUGGGUGACUUUUCGGGUUCUUGGAGUCUUGUCACUCCAACCAAUUUCUUUUCUCUUCCUUGACUUCUCCCACAAAACCACGUAUCCUGGAGCAUCUAGGACAUUUGCUGAUGGCUCAGGAUUAGAGCCAUGUGGGAGACUACACUUCGAAAAGACUGAAGUUGACAGACAAGAAUAAUAAAAUUUGGAGAGUCUGUCAACAUAUCUGUCCUCUGAUCCAUUUUCACAGUCCUUUUUCUUAUUUUUAAACUGCAACUAGGGAAAUACGACCAUAGUGUCCCAUUAAUUAUUCUGUACUGAUCUAGUGUCUUAGCCUCUGAGUUCAAGUCUAUUUCUGCAUUAAUUUUCCUGAAGAACACUUUGGACAGCUGCUUCUCUGGUUCAGUUUUUUAAUGAGUUUCUGUUGCUGAAAGGAUCUCAUUCUUACCCAGGCUGGAGUGCAGUGGCA